UUGAACGCUGGCGGCAGGCCUAACACAUGCAAGUCGCGCGGAUGAAGGGAGCUUGCUCCUGGAUUCAGCGGCGGACGGGUGAGUAAUGCCUAGGGAUCUGCCUGGUAGUGGGGGAUAACGUCCGGAAACGGGCGCUAAUACCGCAUACGUCCUGAGGGAGAAAGUGGGGGAUCUUCGGACCUCACGCUAUCAGAUGAGCCUAGGUCGGAUUAGCUAGUUGGUGGGGUAAAGGCCUACCAAGGCGACGAUCCGUAACUGGUCUGAGAGGAUGAUCAGUCACACUGGAACUGAGACACGGUCCAGACUCCUACGGGAGGCAGCAGUGGGGAAUAUUGGACAAUGGGCGAAAGCCUGAUCCAGCCAUGCCGCGUGUGUGAAGAAGGUCUUCGGAUUGUAAAGCACUUUAAGUUGGGAGGAAGGGCAGUAAGUUAAUACCUUGCUGUUUUGACGUUACCAACAGAAUAAGCACCGGCUAACUUCGUG
rnacentral:rRNA from 1 species